UGCAGUCGAGCGGUAACACAGAGAGCUUGCUCUCGGGUGACGAGCGGCGGACGGGUGAGUAAUGUCUGGGAAACUGCCUGAUGGAGGGGGAUAACUACUGGAAACGGUAGCUAAUACCGCAUAACGUCGCAAGACCAAAGUGGGGGACCUUCGGGCCUCAUGCCAUCAGAUGUGCCCAGAUGGGAUUAGCUAGUAGGUGGGGUAAUGGCUCACCUAGGCGACGAUCCCUAGCUGGUCUGAGAGGAUGACCAGCCACACUGGAACUGAGACACGGUCCAGACUCCUACGGGAGGCAGCAGUGGGGAAUAUUGCACAAUGGGCGCAAGCCUGAUGCAGCCAUGCCGCGUGUAUGAAGAAGGCCUUCGGGUUGUAAAGUACUUUCAGCGAGGAGGAAGGCAUUAAGGUUAAUAACCUUGGUGAUUGACGUUACUCGCAGAAGAAGCACCGGCUAACUCCGUGCCAGCAGCCGCGGUAAUACGGAGGGUGCAAGCGUUAAUCGGAAUUACUGGGCGUAAAGCGCACGCAGGCGGUCUGUCAAGUCGGAUGUGAAAUCCCCGGGCUCAACCUGGGAACUGCAUUCGAAACUGGCAGGCUAGAGUCUUGUAGAGGGGGGUAGAAUUCCAGGUGUAGCGGUGAAAUGCGUAGAGAUCUGGAGGAAUACCGGUGGCGAAGGCGGCCCCCUGGACAAAGACUGACGCUCAGGUGCGAAAGCGUGGGGAGCAAACAGGAUUAGAUACCCUGGUAGUCCACGCCGUAAACGAUGUCGACUUGGAGGUUGUGCCCUUGAGGCGUGGCUUCCGGAGCUAACGCGUUAAGUCGACCGCCUGGGGAGUACGGCCGCAAGGUUAAAACUCAAAUGAAUUGACGGGGGCCCGCACAAGCGGUGGAGCAUGUGGUUUAAUUCGAUGCAACGCGAAGAACCUUACCUACUCUUGACAUCCAGAGAACUUAGCAGAGAUGCUUUGGUGCCUUCGGGAACUCUGAGACAGGUGCUGCAUGGCUGUCGUCAGCUCGUGUUGUGAAAUGUUGGGUUAAGUCCCGCAACGAGCGCAACCCUUAUCCUUUGUUGCCAGCGGUUAGGCCGGGAACUCAAAGGAGACUGCCAGUGAUAAACUGGAGGAAGGUGGGGAUGACGUCAAGUCAUCAUGGCCCUUACGAGUAGGGCUACACACGUGCUACAAUGGCAUAUACAAAGAGAAGCGACCUCGCGAGAGCAAGCGGACCUCAUAAAGUAUGUCGUAGUCCGGAUUGGAGUCUGCAACUCGACUCCAUGAAGUCGGAAUCGCUAGUAAUCGUAGAUCAGAAUGCUACGGUGAAUACGUUCCCGGGCCUUGUACACACCGCCCGUCACACCAUGGGAGUGGGUUGCAAAAGAAGUAGGUAGCUUAACCUUCGGGAGGGCGCUUACC
rnacentral:rRNA from 1 species